GACGAACGCUGGCGGCGUGCCUAACACAUGCAAGUCGAGCGAAUGAAGUUCCUUCGGGAAUGGAUUUAGCGGCGGACGGGUGAGUAACACGUGGGCAACCUGCCUCAUAGAGGGGAAUAGCCUUCCGAAAGGGAGAUUAAUACCGCAUAAGAUUGUAGUACCGCAUGAUACAGCAAUUAAAGGAGCAAUCCGCUAUGAGAUGGGCCCGCGGCGCAUUAGCUAGUUGGUGAGGUAACGGCUCACCAAGGCGACGAUGCGUAGCCGACCUGAGAGGGUGAUCGGCCACAUUGGGACUGAGACACGGCCCAGACUCCUACGGGAGGCAGCAGUGUGGAAUAUUGCACGAUGGGGGAAACCCUGAUGCAGCAACGCCGCGUGAGUGAUGACGGCCUUCGGGUUGUAAAGCUCUGUCUUCAGGGACGAUAAUGACGGUACCUGAGGAGGAAGCCACGGCUAACCACGUGCCAGCAGCCGCCGUAA
rnacentral:rRNA from 1 species